GCUAAAGUGUCAGUCUGAGACCUCUAAAGCUCUGCACCCAGUCACCGCCACAAAGAAGCUUUAAAACUAGCAUGAAGACCAGCACUGGUUUAACAAUCUUGCUGAGUCAGUCACCAGUGCUAUCCAGUCAAAAUAUGAGCACAUUUCCCUUGAAUCAAGUCCAUCAUCACAACAUGACAUCUAUGAAACAGUUUCUCUUUCCACCUCCAGUAACAUGAUAG
rnacentral:lncRNA from 1 species